CUCUUAGCCAAGCAAGUGUAGUUAUAGGGUGAGGCCUGUCCCUUGCACUCCAGGCAAGCUGACCCCUCUGAGCUUCCCCAAAUGUGAGCUUUCCACCUUCCCAAAUCCAGGAAAUUCAACUGCAUAAUUUUAUGGUAAUGGGGGACUGCAUUUUCACUUUCCCCAU
rnacentral:snRNA from 1 species